rnacentral:rRNA from 1 species
AGUGAACGCUGGCGGUAGGCCUAACACAUGCAAGUCGAACGGCAGCGCAGUAAGAUCUUGCUCUUACGGGUGGCGAGUGGCGGACGGGUGAGGAAUACAUCGGAAUCUACUUUUUCGUGGGGGAUAACGUAGGGAAACUUACACUACUACCGCAUACGACCUACGAGUGAAAGCAGGGGAUCUUCGGACCUUUCGCGAUUUAAUGAGCCGACGUCGGAUUAGCUAGUUAGGGGGGGAAGUGCCCACCCAGGCGACGAUCCGUAGCUGGCCUGCGAGGGUGAAUGGCCACACUUGGACUGAGACACGGGCCAGGCCUCCACCGGAGGCAGCAGUAGGGAAUUUUUGGCAAUGGGGGCAAAGCUGACCCAGCCACGACGGGUGGGGGAAGAAGGGCCUUGGGUUGUAAGACUCUGUUGGAAGUGAAGAAAAGGCGGGAGGGUAGAAAGUUCAUACUGUGACGGUACCUAAAGAGAAAGCACCGGCUAACUUCGUG